UGUUGGGUUAAGUCCCGUAACGAGCGCAACCCUUGUCCUUAGUUACCAGCACGUAAUGGUGGGCACUCUAAGGAGACUGCCGGUGACAAACCGGAGGAAGGUGGGGAUGACGUCAAGUCAUCAUGGCCCUUACGGCCUGGGCUACACACGUGCUACAAUGGUCGGUACAGAGGGUUGCCAAGCCGCGAGGUGGAGCUAAUCCCACAAAACCGAUCGUAGUCCGGAUCGCAGUCUGCAACUCGACUGCGUGAAGUCGGAAUCGCUAGUAAUC
rnacentral:rRNA from 1 species